AUAUUAUAAAAUUCCAUUCAGAAAAAAAACCCUAGCUUCAUAGAACGAGCCGCACGCCUGUACCUUAAACCUUGCCUUAAAUCCCAUCUUCUUGCUCGUCUAGCGACCCUCCGAGUCGGCACGGGACUCUUGCCUCGUCGACGAGUGGCGGAUGCGGCUGGAUGGGUAUUGUCUCAGUUUGGUGUGAUGGGAAUAAAUCAAGUCUCAGGAGAAGAGGAGAGGGUGAUGAUGUCAGUUUCUUGUCUGAGAUCGCAGGUUUCCUAAGGGAGGUACAUCGGCAGUUCAGAGGAAGGUGGAUGGUAUUGUGCGAGGGCCGAAAGAACCUUAGAUCCUUUUUUAGGUGAACGGAGUAGACAUGUUGGACAGGGUUGGGGACGACGACGAUAUUUGCAGCAUUCUGAUCCAAUCGGAAAGUAUUGAUCCAACUUGGGUUGAUAGGAUCUGAUUUGGAUGUUUGGAUGGCUGGAAGUGCUAGAUUUCCAUGCUUGCAUUCAGAAAAAAAUGGCAGGAGGGAGAGACGUCCUAUGUUUGUUUGACGUGAGGCGGAAGACGGCAGAGAAGCUGCUGGUGAUGGGACGACCUAUGUUUUGCAAAUCGGAUGCAAGCAAUAAAAUCCUAUCACUUUAUGGUGGGAAGAGGUGGGCUAUGUCCUGGUA